rnacentral:rRNA from 1 species
UACAGAGGUCUCGAGCGUUGUUCGGAUUCAUUGGGCGUAAAGGGCGCGUAGGCUGCGUGGCAAGUCGGGUGUGAAAUCUCAGAGCUCAACUCUGAAACUGCACUCGAUACUGCUUUGCUUGAGGACUGGAGAGGAGAUUGGAAUUCACGGUGUAGCAGUGAAAUGCGUAGAUAUCGUGAGGAAGACCAGUGGCGAAGGCGGAUCUCUGGACAGUUCCUGACGCUGAGGCGCGAAGGCCAGGGGAGCAAACGGG